AACAACAACAAAUAUCUUUGUCAAUUUCUAUAACAGCAAAUACAAACAAGAGAGCUCUCUACUAGCUUCAAUUCUUCCCCAAGGCAAUUUCUUAGGGGCAUGGCGGCAUCUACGGCGCUGCUAAGUAUUGCUCCGCCGCAGUUCAACUCAACAGCAAAAUCAAAGGUAACCCGAAAACCCCCUUUUUGUUCUUGCUCUCUAGAUUCCUCAAAUUCUGCUACUGCUAGUUCUACUGUUAGUGAAGAACGAGAUAAUGCUCCCAAGAAAUUUACAUAUACCAGAGCUUCUCCAUCUUCUAGAUGGCCCCACUUGAAAUUCACUGACACCCAUCAAAGUUCACAGCCCUCCCCGUUAUCUGUUGCCGUCCCGUCUGUAAAAGAUGUUGAAUUUGAUUCGGGAAGUGAUGGGAAUGUGGGUUGUUGUGAGGGAAUAGGAAUGGAGAAGGGAGAGGAGUCGUUGAACUCAAAUGGGUUUCAACUGAAUGAUGAAACCCAAGAGGUUUUGGGUAGACCCAGCAGGACUAGGGCGAAGAAAAUGACGAAACUUGCGCUCAAGAGGGCGAAAGAUUGGCGUCAGAGGGUACAAUUUUUAACUGAUAAGAUUUUGGGGCUGAAAUCUGAGGAGUUUGUAGCUGAUGUGUUGGAUGAAAAGAUGGUGCAAAUGACCCCUACUGAUUUUUGCUUUGUGGUGAAAUGGGUUGGUCAAUCUAGUUGGCAAAGGGCAUUGGAGGUUUAUGAAUGGUUGAAUCUUCGAAAUUGGUAUUCUCCGAAUGCCCGGAUGCUUGCAACAAUACUUGCUGUGCUGGGCAAGGCCAACCAGGAAGCAUUGGCUGUGGAGAUCUUUAUGCGGGCAGAGCAAAGUAUUGGAAACACAGUUCAAGUAUAUAAUUCAAUGAUGGGUGUUUACGCUAGAAAUGGGAGGUUUUCCCGGGUUCAACAGUUACUUGAAUUAAUGCAUGAGCGCGGGCUUGAGCCAGAUCUUGUGAGUUUUAAUACUUUGAUUAAUGCGCGUCUCAAAUCAGGCCCUAUGACACCAAACCUGGCAAUUGAACUUCUGGAUGAAGUAAGGAGUUCGGGCACUCAACCUGACAUAAUAACUUAUAACACUCUGAUUAGUGCUUGUUCACGCGAAUCAAAUGUUGAGGAAGCUGUAAAAGUUUUUAAUGAUAUGGAAAGUCAUAGAUGCCAACCUGAUUUGUGGACGUAUAAUGCUAUGAUUUCAGUUUUUGGGAGAUGUGGAAUGGACGGUGAGGCUGCAAGGCUGUUCAAUGAACUGGAGGCAAAUGGCUUUUAUCCAGAUGCAGUGACAUAUAAUUCACUGCUCCAUGCAUUUGCUAGGCAGGGGAAUAUUGAGAAGGUUAAAGAAAUCUGCGAAGAGAUGGUGAACAUGGGUUUUGGGAAGGACGAAAUGACUUAUAAUACCAUCAUUGACAUGUAUGGGAAACAGGGUCGGCAUGACCUUGCAUUGCAAGUCUACAAUGACAUGACAUCUUCUGGUCGAAGCCCUGAUGUAAUUACAUAUACAAUUCUUAUUGACUCACUAGGGAAAGACAAUAAAAUGGCAGAGGCUUCAAAAGUGAUGUCUGAGAUGCUGAAUGCAGGGAUAAAGCCAACAGUGAGAACUUACAGUGCCUUGAUUUGUGGUUAUGCAAAGGCAGGGAAGAGGGUUGAUGCAGAAGAUAUGUUCGACUGCAUGGUACGUUCUGGAAUUCAUCCGGAUCACCUGGCUUACACAGUGAUGCUAGACAUGAAUCUGAGGUUUGGUGAGACCAAGAAAGCAAUGUUGUUGUAUCAUGACAUGGUGCGCAAUGGAUUCACGCCUGAUUUUGCUCUAUAUGAAUUUAUGCUCCGAUCUCUUGGAAGAGCAAAUGAAGAAGAAAAUAUCCAGAUUGUGAUUAAGGACUUGAAAGAAUUGGGUAAUUUGGGUCCGCAAUCCAUUUCAUCUCUACUUAUUAAGGGUGAAUGCUAUGACUUUGCAGCCAAAAUGUUGAGAUUAGUCAUUGAGGAGGGUUCUGAAUUUAAUCAUGAUGACCUGUUAUCUAUUUUGGGUUCAUACAGUUCAUCUGGGAAGAUCUCAGAAGCUAUAGAAUUGCUAAAUUUUGUGAAAGAGCAUGAUUCCAGGUCCAUGUCCAAGAAACUUAUAACUGAUGCCUCAAUAAUUAUUAACUGCAAAGCUCAAAAUUUGAAUGCUGCAUUGGAUGAAUACCGCGAGACAGGUGAUUCAUAUACAUUAAGUAUUUCUGUGUAUGAGUCCCUCAUCAAGUGUUGCGAGGAGGCUGAACUGUUUGCUGAAGCUUCUCAGAUAUUUUCUGAUAUGAGGGCCAAGGGUGUAAAACCUUCUCAGGAUAUUUGCGGGAUAAUCACUGUCAUUUACUGCAAGAUGGGUUUUCCAGAAACAGCACAUUAUUUGAUUGACCAGGUGGAAGCAAAUGGUAUGCUCCUUGGGGACAUCUCAUUUCAUGUAAGUCUUAUUGAAGCAUAUGGUAAGCUCAAAAUAGUUGAAAAGGCAGAGAGUAUUGUGGCAACUAUAGAACAUCGGUAUGGUGUUGUGGGAAGGACGGCUUAUAAUGCAUUAAUACAAGCUUAUUCUUUAAGUGGUUUCUAUGAGAAAGCUAGAGCUGUUUUCAAUACCAUGAUGAGAAAUGGUCCAUCCCCAACAGUGGAUACCAUAAACAAUCUCAUGCAAGCAUUAGUUGUUGAUGGCAGAUUAAACGAGCUGUAUGUUCUGAUCCAGGAACUGCAAGAUAUGGGUUUUAAGAUUAGUAAGAGUUCCAUUCUUUUGAUGCUUGAGGCAUUUGCUCAAACUGGUAACGUAUUUGAAGUGAAGAAAAUUUACCAUGGAAUGAGAGCUGCUGGAUAUUUACCUACCAUGCAUCUUUAUAGAGUUAUAAUUGGGUUACUGUGCAGAACUAAACAAGUGAGGGAUGCUGAAGCCAUGCUUUCUGAAAUGGAGGAAGCUGGAUUCAAGCCAGAUCUUUCAAUAUGGAAUUCAAUGCUCAAGUUAUAUACUAGAAUUGAAGAUUUCAAGAAGACAGUGCACAUAUACCAGAGAAUUCAAGAAGCUGGACUCAAACCAGAUUUGGAUACUUACAAUACUUUGAUAAUAAUGUACUGUAGAGAUCGUAGACCUCAUGAAUCUCUUUUGUUAGUGAAUGAGAUGAAAAGGCUGGGUCUAUUCCCUGAGAGAGACACUUAUAAAAGCCUGAUUGCUGCAUUUUGUAAGGAGCUGAUGCUGGAACAAGCUGAAGAACUCUUCGAAAGCCUGAGGUCAGAAGGACAUAACCUCGAUCGUUCUUUUUAUCACUUAAUGAUGAAAAUGUAUAGAAGCUCUGGAAAUCAUUCCAAGGCUGAAAAGCUAAUAGAGAAGAUGAAGGAAUCAGGGAUUGAACCAUCUGAUGCUACGAUGCAUUUGCUGAUGACUUCAUAUGGUACUUCAGGCCAUCCAAUGGAAGCUGAGAAAGUGCUGAAUAGUCUAAAGUCAAAUGGUGUAAAUCUCAGUACUCUACAGUAUGGCUCUGUUAUUGAUGCGUAUCUCAAGAGCAGAGAUUAUGAUACUGGCCUUUUGAAGCUCAAGGAGAUGAUUGGGGAAGGUCUAGAACCAGAUCACAGGAUAUGGACUUGCUUUAUCCGGGCCGCUAGUUUAUGCGAAUACAUUACUGAAGCCAAAACUCUUUUAAAUGCUGUCGCUGAUGCUGGCUUUAAUCUUCCUAUCAGGUUUCUAACAGAGAAUUCAGAGUCUCUGGUGUUGGACUUAGACCUGUACCUGGAGCAAAUUGAAACCGCAGAGGAUAAAGCAGCAUUGAAUUUUGUAAAUGCUUUGGAAGAUCUGUUAUGGGCUUUUGAACUCCGAGCCACAGCCUCAUGGGUUUUUCAGCUGGCCAUUAAAAGGAGCAUUUACCAUAAUGAUAUUUUCAGAGUGGCUGACAAGGAUUGGGGGGCUGACUUCAGGAAGCUGUCUGCGGGUGCUGCUCUUGUUGGUCUCACAUUAUGGCUUGACCAUAUGCAGGAUGCAUCCUUGGAGGGCUUUCCUGAAUCUCCCAAAUCCGUUGUACUGAUUACUGGUAAAUCUGACUACAACAGAGUUUCUUUAAAUAGUACAGUGAAGGCAUACCUUUGGGAGAUGGGUUCUCCAUUUCUACCUUGUAAAACUCGGACUGGAAUACUUGUUGCAAAAGCUCAUUCCUUAAGAAUGUGGUUGAAAGAUUCCCCAUUUUGCUUAGAUCUUGAGUUGAAAAAUAGGCCUAGCCUUCCGGAGAUGAACUCAAUGCAGCUUAUUGAAGGAUGUUUUAUUAGGCGUGGCCUUGUUCCUGCUUUCAAGGAAAUUAAUGAAAGGCUUGGGCCAGUAAACCCGAGGAAGUUUGCAAGGCUUGCUUUGCUGUCAAAUGAGAAGAGGGAAAAAGUUAUUCAAGCUGACAUUGAGGGGAGAAGGGAAAAGUUAGCCAAGUUGAAGAGUACUGCUGUCACAAAGAGGAGGAAUGCCAAAAGCUUCAGGAUGAACAAAUUUGUCAGGGUGUCUGGUCCUGCAAAAUGAUGGCGUUACCUGAGAAAUUGAUGCUCUUGUCCUCUGUGGGAUCAAAAGUUCCAUAAAUCCCGAGUGCUGUUGCAUGUCAAGUUCCAGAAUAUAGUCUGAAAGACAUUCUUUUCUUAGGAUGAACGGCGUAAAUAGCUGACUGAGGAAGGAGCAUGUGGAGGUGUCAAUGUCACGGCGAAUGCAAGUUUAAUCAAGAGGAGAUCACAAAACUUCAAACAAUUCCAGAGUUGCAAGGGAAGUUCAAUCAGCUAACCUAACAAAAUCAUAUAACAGUUUUCCCUUCAGACGUUCUCUAUUGCUGUCUGAUUAAUUAAACAAUAUCUGGAACUCCUCUCAAGUCACUCUUAUCUAAGUUAUCUGUGUAGUUCUCAUUAACGAGGCUCAAGACACACAUGUGGCCCCUAACUAGAGGUUGUCAACCUGAUAUAUUGAUCCCAUGAGAGUCUUGCCCGUGUUUAAGGUUGAAUUAGAGGAGCUUUAGAAAGCCUCAAGGGCAUGAGCUCAAGGAAUUUCUGCUUGCUUGUAAGUUAUUACCUCUCUACAGCACUUGUGUUGCCGUGCAGAAACCUGAUCAUGCUCUACAUGCAACGGUUGGAAUGUGAAGUCGCCGUGUUAUCUAUGUAGGCAUGUAGCUGCAGCCUGCAGGUUAUUCUUGGAGAUAGAGAGUAGAAUUAAAUGUUAGGCAGGGAGAAAACGCGCUAAAUGUGCCGUUAUACCUAGUUUUGGGCCAUGUUUUGUGUAUUGCUCGUAUGAAAACCAGUCCCCUUUUGUGUGGUCAAAGAGAAGCAAACUUUGACAGGACAUGCCCAUUGAUCUUUCUCAGGUCUUUUUUCAUAUUCUUCUUUGUUUGCUGUUUUGCUCUAUUUUGUUUAGUUUCAGUUUGACUUUUAUUUUUCAAGU